rnacentral:lncRNA from 1 species
AUGUGUAAAUGAAGUUUUAAACAAAACUUGCAACAUUGCAGAAUCUCAACAGCAGUAGCAGCCCUGGCUUGUCAAAUGCUCUUGAGGCUCUGGGGGAGGUGAGAAGUGCCACGUUCAGCCAGGCACAACUGCAGGAUAAAGAGGUCAUCGAUAACUGGUUCCAGAAAAAGAUCCAACUCUUCUUGGCCGCUCCAACAACAAACUUCCUUACCUGCCUCAGUGCCAACAAAUUUCAGCUGCCCGACAUACCAAAUUGUGUAAGUGCAAAGUGUCUCUUACAAAGUGGUCAGCUUUGACAACAUCACUGAAAACAUGAGCAUGUUUAGACACUGAAAACCCUCUUUCCAAUGUUAGUGUUAAAGCUCUCAGUAGCCAGAAGGCGUUCAUGGACAGUGAGACACAGCAGGCAGUCUUCACUAACUUCAUUCAACCAUUCCUGUCAAGAAAUGACUCAUCAGAUCCAGGAUGCAUUUCCUUUGUCAAUGGAAGCUUAAACUGGCUAGUGGCAAACUUUGGCAACUUCUCAGGUUUAGCAAGCUUAAAGGAUUUGCUGGCUCUCAAUCCAAACUUUUCCAGCGUGAGUGCUCUCUGCACCUAUCUACUUCAUUUUUUAUUUCUUUCAGCAGCGCUCGACCAAAUGCUUUUGAUUUUGUCUUCACAGGUUCAAUUUCUAUCAGAGCUCGCUCCUUCUCAGAUGGCGCAGUUAAUUGUGAGCACAAGCACCUCAAAUGACACAGUCCUGGUCGAUCGAGUCUUCAAUCAACUUGAGCAAGGGAAUGCUCUGAAAAAUGUGGACCAGUUCUUGACACAGCUGAGCAUGGAUGGACAGGUAAACAGGUUUCAAAUGCACAAAGUGGUAUAUUGCAACCAGAAGCAUGUCUUGACAUUCUUGUGGACCCCAAGACUUUGAAUAACUGGUUAUAAAUUAUUUUGCAGUAACUCAGCUGACAGUAUCACAAACUCUUACCAAUUUCGUAUAGUAAACCUGCAACACAGACACUUUGGUGUGUGUAAUUCUUUGCUUGUCCUACUUUGACAGGUGCCAGAAUUGCAGCCUGUUGUCAGAGACUUCAUCAUGAACAGGACCUUCAAGA